GGUAGGUGGCAAGCGUUGUCCGGAAUUAUUGGGCGUAAAGCGCGCGCAGGUGGUUCUUUAAGUCUGAUGUGAAAGCCCCUGGCUCAACCGGGGAGGGUCAUUGGAAACUGGGGAACUUGAGUGCAGGAGAGGAAAGUGGAAUUCCACGUGUAGCGGUGAAAUGCGUAGAUAUGUGGAGGAACACCAGUGGCGAAGGCGACUUUCUGGCCUGUAACUGACACUGAGGCGCGAAAGCGUGGGGAGCAAACAGGGAUUAGAUACCCUGGUAGUCCACGCCGUAAACGAUGAGUGCUAAGUGUUGGGGGGGUUUCCGCCCCCUCAGUGCUGCAGCUAACGCAUUAAGCACUCCGCCUGGGAUACGGUCGCAAGACUG
rnacentral:rRNA from 1 species